rnacentral:rRNA from 1 species
CCUACGGGAGGCAGCAGUGGGGAAUAUUGGGCAAUGGGCGCAAGCCUGACCCAGCAACGCCGCGUGAAGGAAGAAGUCUUUCGGUUUGUAAACUUCUUUUAACAGGGAAGAGUGGAAUACGGUACCUUUCGAAUAAACCACGGCUAACUCCGUGCCAGCAGCCGCGGUAAUACGUAGGUGGCAAGCGUUGUCCGGAUUUACUGGGUGGAAAGGGCGUGUAGCCGGGUUGACAAGUCAGAUGUGAAAUCCUGCGGCUUAACCGCAGAACUGCAUUUGAAACUGUUGAUCUUGAGUACUGGAGAGGCAGACGGAAUUCCUAGUGUAGCGGUGAAAUGCGUAGAUAUUAGGAGGAACACCAGUGGCGAAGGCGGUCUGCUGGACAGCAACUGACAGUGAGGCGCGAAAGCGUGGGGAGCAAACAGGAUUAGAUACCCUUGUAGUC